UUUGGUUCCUAGUUAAAAAAGAAGGAAGAAAAAAGAGCUCUCCUGUCUGCAAGACUUUCUUCCAAGUCACUGACGACCAUUCUGCAAUCUCUGACGCUGGCAUUUGAUGUUCACACAUGUGCAAAGUAGGCUCCACACCCAGCGUGAAGCCCAGUGCAGGGCUGGAACUCACAACGGUGAGAUCAAGACCUGAGCUGAGACCAAGAGUCGGACACCUAGCCAACUGAGCCACCCAGUAGCUCUUACCAUAUGUCCAGUUCAGAGGAAUACUCAGUGGCUCCCAGCAAGGCAUCAGGAGGCCGAUACCAGAGGGUCACA